GACGAACGCUGGCGGCGUGCUUAACACAUGCAAGUCGAACGGAAAGGCCCUGCUUUUGUGGGGUGCUCGAGUGGCGAACGGGUGAGUAACACGUGAGUAACCUGCCCUUGACUUUGGGAUAACUUCAGGAAACUGGGGCUAAUACCGGAUAGGAGCUCCUGCUGCAUGGUGGGGGUUGGAAAGUUUCGGCGGUUGGGGAUGGACUCGCGGCUUAUCAGCUUGUUGGUGGGGUAGUGGCUUACCAAGGCUUUGACGGGUAGCCGGCCUGAGAGGGUGACCGGCCAAAUUGGGACUGGGAUACGGCCCCGACUCCUACGGGAGGCAGCAGUGGGGAAUAUUGCACAAUGGGCGGAAGCCUGAUGCAGCAACGCCGCGUGCGGGAUGACGGCCUUCGGGUUGUAAACCGCUUUCGCCUGUGACGAAGCGUGAGUGACGGUAAUGGGUAAAGAAGCACCGGCUAACUACGUG
rnacentral:rRNA from 1 species